UUUAAUUUGAGAGUUUGAUCCUGGCUCAGGAUGAACGCUGGCGGCGUGCUUAACACAUGCAAGUCGAACGAGUUACAUUAGAGGAAGUUUUCGGAUGGAAUCUAAUGUAGCUAGUGGCGGACGGGUGAGUAACGCGUGGGAAACCUGCC
rnacentral:rRNA from 1 species